UGGGGAAUUUUGGACAAUGGGGGAAACCCUGAUCCAGCCAUCCCGCGUGUGCGAUGAAGGCCUUCGGGUUGCAAAGCACUUUUUGCAGGAAAGAAACGUCAUGGGUUAAUACCCCGUGAAACUGACGGUACCUGCAGAAUAAGCACCGGCUAACUACGUGCCAGCAGCCGCGGUAAUACGUAGGGUGCAAGCGUUAAUCGGAAUUACUGGGCGUAAAGCGUGCGCAGGCGGUUCGGAAAGAAAGAUGUGAAAUCCCAGAGCUCAACUUUGGAACUGCAUUUUAAACUACCGGGCUAGAGUGUGACAGAGGGGGGUGGAAUUCCGCGUGUAGCAGUGAAAUGCGUAGAUAUGCGGAGGAACACCGAUGGCGAAGGCAGCCUCCUGGGAUAACACUGACGCUCAUGCACGAAAGCGUGGGGAGCAAACAGG
rnacentral:rRNA from 1 species